rnacentral:rRNA from 1 species
GACGAACGCUGGCGGCGUGCCUAAUACAUGCAAGUAGAACGCUGAAGAGAGGAGCUUGCUCUUCUUGGAUGAGUUGCGAACGGGUGAGUAACGCGUAGGUAACCUGCCUUGUAGCGGGGGAUAACUAUUGGAAACGAUAGCUAAUACCGCAUAACAAUGGAUGACACAUGUCAUUUAUUUGAAAGGGGCAAUUGCUCCACUACAAGAUGGACCUGCGUUGUAUUAGCUAGUAGGUGAGGUAACGGCUCACCUAGGCGACGAUACAUAGCCGACCUGAGAGGGUGAUCGGCCACACUGGGACUGAGACACGGCCCAGACUCCUACGGGAGGCAGCAGUAGGGAAUCUUCGGCAAUGGGGGCAACCCUGACCGAGCAACGCCGCGUGAGUGAAGAAGGUUUUCGGAUCGUAAAGCUCUGUUGUAAGUCAAGAACGAGUGUGAGAGUGGAAAGUUCACACUGUGACGGUAGCUUACCAGAAAGGGCGG